rnacentral:misc_RNA from 1 species
UUUCCGUAGGUGAACCUGCGGAAGGAUCAUUAUUGUAUAACCGAGGUGCGAGGGCUGUCGCUGACCCGAAAGGUCGUGCACGCAUCAGUGCCAUAACACACAUACAUCUCACCCCUAUGUGCACCACCGCCUGGGUCCCCCUUUGGCUUGUUCGGAGGGGGGCUUACGUUUUCACACAAACUUUGUAUGCAGUGUAGAAUGUAUUUUUUGUUCUUGCGAUCACGCAAUCAAUACAACUUUCAACAACGGAUCUCUUGGCUCUC